UACGAAGGGGGCUAGCGUUGCUCGGAAUCACUGGGCGUAAAGCGCACGUAGGCGGAUUGUUAAGUCAGGGGUGAAAUCCUGGAGCUCAACUCCAGAACUGCCUUGAUACUGGUGAUCUUGAGUCGGGAGAGGUGAGUGGAACUGCGAGUGUAGAGGUGAAAUUCGUAGAUAUUCGCAAGAACACCAGUGGCGAAGGCGGCUCACUGGCCCGGUACUGACGCUGAGGUGCGAAAGCGUGGGGAG
rnacentral:rRNA from 1 species